rnacentral:rRNA from 1 species
UACAGAGGGGGCAAGCGUUAUUCGGAAUUACUGGGCGUAAAGCGUGCGCAGGCGGCUUUGCAAGACAGAUGUGAAAUCCCCGGGCUCAACCUGGGAACUGCAUUUGUGACUGCAAGGCUGGAGUACGGUAGAGGGGGAUGGAAUUCCGCGUGUAGCAGUGAAAUGCGUAGAUAUGCGGAGGAACACCGAUGGCGAAGGCAAUCCCCUGGACCUGUACUGACGCUCAUGCACGAAAGCGUGGGGAGCAAACAGG